CGGCGCUCUAAUUAGGUGUAACUGCACACAAACCGCCCUCUUUUCGUGAAAAUGACAGCUUCUCGCUCUUCUAUACAUUUCCACAAAAGAGUUUUACCGUAUGCACUCUCAGGAGGCUGCUGCAUCUCAAUCUCUUCGCUGUUCAUGCUUAAUUGAACGACAUUGAAAACUGAAUUCUUCAUGAAAAGUCUACUUACUUUUUUCCUUUGCGCAGCAAUGAAAGUCUGCUGGGCUGCAGGAUCUCCACAGUCCUCUUCUCUUCAAAAACGGGCUGAGCAAGUGGCGGAUGUUCCAGAGAAAGGUGAGGAAGUGGUGAUGGUAACGGCGUUGGAGGAGUCCCAUUUAUCGUGGGGGGUCCCAUAUGACCAAUUAAGUGAAGAACAGAAACAUCAUGUUUUUUUACGGAUGGAGCAGCUAAGUAUGUUAAUGGUAAGCGAAAGUGGAAAGCUGCGGCAUACAAUCAAUGUGCGCAGCAAAUGAUUGAAAUUACAGGAGAAGGUAAAAGCAAUGGGCUGAAUUACGAGCGGUAGUAAUGGUUUUGGAGCAGGAGUGAUUGAUUCGGCGCCUAAGGAUGGCGACAUGUCCCAGCUAAUAAAUGUUAUUUACGAGAAAACUAAUCGGCAUGCGAGUUCUUUUCUUAUGUGUGUAGGAUGGCGUGAUGGUUUUGGUGGUGGGCGUGGCCGACGCUGCUGGCGAUGUUCGGCUAUGCUGCAGUCCCAGGGACCGAGUUGGAACACGUACGUUUACCUUCAAGCUUACGUGGAAAAACAGCACCAAGACCUGGCAGCAGGACAACUUCACCUGUCCAGCCAACCAACCCUGCUUCAUCAUUGAAUUAACCCCUGUGAACGGGAGCGAGAUGUAUGUCUGUAUGGGAUGCCACAACGGGAAAGAACAUUCCCAUCCUCGCGUCUGCUGGAGUGCCCCCUCAAGUGGGUGUGGGAACUCGAUGGAUGAAUUGGAACGAAUGUACUAUGGCUAUGUUACAUGCCAAAAUAUAACGAAAUAAUGUUUAACAAAUGUUAAUGUCAUUCAAUCCUGGUGCAUGGAAACGAUUUUGGAAUAUUGAUCCCAGUAUGUGGCUGCAUUUAAAGCCUGAAAUAACUCAAUGUAAUGAUACUUUGCGUACUGGACAAUGGAAAAUGUAUUAUGUAACUACCCCCCAAACUUUGCGUAGGUUCACGUGCUGCCCAUAAUAGCUGGAGGGGCAUAUUGAACUUUACAAGUAAAGGGGGAAUGGCUAGACAUCUACACUAUCAAAACGUAUGAUAUACUAGAUUGGAAUGAAACUGAUAAAGGAUAUGUAUGUUUUCUAUGA